CAAAUUGCGUCUCCAGGUUUCCCUUUGACGAUUUCUUUGAUCUGGUCGUCCAAUUGGCGCUCUUUUUUCUCCGAUAGUCUAUUUGUGUUCCGGUGGUAGCCUACGGUGGUUUUGGCCACUGCUUCUUCUGCGCUUUCGUUUGUUCAGGUUAGUGAUGUGGCUUCUACAGAACUCUUGUACUUUAUUUCCCCUAUGCUAAGCCAAGAAAAACAAAUCUUAACAGUAAGCGUAAAGUAAAACAAGUGGUGUUGCAUCUCUUUGGUUGCUUAGAGAAGAAGAAGAAGCAAAGAUCGAAGGUCAAACCAGGGACUACUUUGAUGGGCUAGCGCCAAAGUGUCACAUUGAAUAAAACUCCGAGGUAAUAGUGUGACUGAUGAGUUUGUAGAGACCAAGAUUACAAAUAUCUUAACGGCAUCGACAAGCAACAUCACACCGUAAAGAAAACGUUGAAUGACUUCCUUCAACAUUAUUGCAGUAUAUUGUAGUUGACUCUUGGAUAUCUAUAAUACUAUAAAAAGGAGAAGUGAUGUACGUAAAUGUAAUUUUACAUUGCAUCCAACUCUUAAAGCAAUAUGUACAAUUAAUAAAAGCUUGUUUUGUAAGGCUAAAAUUGUAAAGAGGCGAAUAUCUUAAGACGCUGCGAGAGUAUAAAAGUAAAUUCAAGGAACAGCCAUACUCACAUGCUCAAAUUCCUUUCCAUCGCUGCCCUUAAAGAAACCUAAUCGACAUUCCUCUGAAUCAAAC
rnacentral:lncRNA from 1 species